CAAAUCUAGACCGACAAAACUGCCCUCCUUUACAAAAGCCCUUACGGUCAAACACGGUGGAUAUUUCGGUUCAAAAUAAACGGGCAGCAAGUUUUCAAAAAAAUAAAAAAAUAAACGGGCAGCAGUGCGCGCUUUCCCUCCUCGGACCUCAGUUAAUGGCAAGCGCUCUUAGAAGACUUGCAGCUGCAUUCUGCUACCCGUCACAUCUCCAAUUCGUCCGAAGCUUGUCUCCGUUGCGCUUUGGAAAUAGUCACCGUUCCUUCGUGUCUUCGGCUUUGUCUGAUCAGAGGACUGUCCUCCAACUGGUCAUCCGGAAUUCCGACAAUAGAGAGAGAACGAGAGGGAGUGAGAUGUAGCUGAGCUGAGCUGUUGAAGGCGUACUAGUUAUUAAAAUUCUUUUUAUUAUUUAUCCUAGUAUUAAUUAAAGUUUGUAUAAUUUUUUUUUUUUUUGGGAAACCUAAAGUUUGUAUAAUUAAUCCUACAUAAAGAUACCAGAAAAUUAGAACAUCGAUCCCUAAAUGGGCCACAAUGUAGCAAUGGUUCUUUUGAGUAAACACUGUUUUAUAAUACCCUCCAAAAUAAAGGGCUUAAAGG